GAAUGCUGACAUAAGUAACGAUAAAGCGGGUGAAAAGCCCGCUCGCCGGAAGACCAAGGGUUCCUGUCCAACGUUAAUCGGGGCAGGGUGAGUCGACCCCUAAGGCGAGGCCGAAAGGCGUAGUCGAUGGGAAACGGGUUAAUAUUCCCGUACUUGGUGUUACUGCGAAGGGGGGACGGAGAAGGCUAUGUUGGCCGGGCGACGGUUGUCCCGGUUUAAGCGUGUAGGUGUGUGUUCCAGGUAAAUCCGGUUCACUUUAACACUGAGGCGUGACGACGAGGCACUACGGUGCUGAAGCAACAAAUGCCCUGCUUCCAGGAAAAGCCUCUAAGCAUCAGGUAACAUCAAAUCGUACCCCAAACCGACACAGGUGGUCAGGUAGAGAAUACCAAGGCGCUUGAGAGAACUCGGGUGAAGGAACUAGGCAAAAUGGUGCCGUAACUUCGGGAGAAGGCACGCUGACACGUAGGUGAAGUGAUUUACUCAUGGAGCUGAAGUCAGUCGAAGAUACCAGCUGGCUGCAACUGUUUAUUAAAAACACAGCACUGUGCAAACACGAAAGUGGACGUAUACGGUGUGACGCCUGCCCGGUGCCGGAAGGUUAAUUGAUGGGGUCAGCGCAAGCGAAGCUCCUGAUCGAAGCCCCGGUAAACGGCGGCCGUAACUAUAACGGUCCUAAGGUAGCGAAAUUCCUUGUCGGGUAAGUUCCGACCUGCACGAAUGGCGUAAUGAUGGCCAGGCUGUCUCCACCCGAGACUCAGUGAAAUUGAACUCGCUGUGAAGAUGCAGUGUACCCGCGGCAAGACGGAAAGACCCCGUGAACCUUUACUAUAGCUUGACACUGAACAUUGAGCCUUGAUGUGUAGGAUAGGUGGGAGGCUUUGAAGUGUGGACGCCAGUCUGCAUGGAGCCGACCUUGAAAUACCACCCUUUAAUGUUUGAUGUUCUAACGUGGACCCGUUACCCGGGUUGCGGACAGUGUCUGGUGGGUAGUUUGACUGGGGCGGUCUCCUCCUAAAGAGUAACGGAGGAGCACGAAGGUUGGCUAAUCCUGGUCGGACAUCAGGAGGUUAGUGCAAUGGCAUAAGCCAGCUUGACUGCGAGCGUGACGGCGCGAGCAGGUGCGAAAGCAGGUCAUAGUGAUCCGGUGGUUCUGAAUGGAAGGGCCAUCGCUCAACGGAUAAAAGGUACUCCGGGGAUAACAGGCUGAUACCGCCCAAGAGUUCAUAUCGACGGCGGUGUUUGGCACCUCGAUGUCGGCUCAUCACAUCCUGGGGCUGAAGUAGGUCCCAAGGGUAUGGCUGUUCGCCAUUUAAAGUGGUACGCGAGCUGGGUUUAGAACGUCGUGAGACAGUUCGGUCCCUAUCUGCCGUGGGCGCUGGAGAACUGAGGGGGGCUGCUCCUAGUACGAGAGGACCGGAGUGGACGCAUCACUGGUGUUCGGGUUGUCAUGCCAAUGGCACUGCCCGGUAGCUAAAUGCGGAAGAGAUAAGUGCUGAAAGCAUCUAAGCACGAAACUUGCCCCGAGAUGAGUUCUCCCUGAGACUUAGAGUCUCCUGAAGGAACGUUGAAGACGACGACGUUGAUAGGCCGGGUGUGUAAGCGCAGCGAUGCGUUGAGCUAACCGGUACUAAUGAACCGUGAGGCUUAACCUUACAAC
rnacentral:rRNA from 1 species